CAUAGAUCACUAUGAAGAACUAAAGCUGCCUCUUUAUUUACAUAGUUAUUAUAACACAAUGAUUUAAUUAUUUGUUCAAAAUUUUCUCCCACAAUAUCAAUUACUGCCUCAUAAAUUGCCAUAUGUGGAAAUCUAAUUACAAAUUUGAAAUCGGCGCAAAAAUGGGUUUAGAAAAGUAUAAUUUGGUCUCUGAUGAAAAUUCCUUACAGACCAACGAUCGGUCGAGUCUGAUUGGCCAAAAUCAAUCCUACGCGAAAUGUCGCGCCCAAACGCGG